rnacentral:rRNA from 1 species
UAAUGAAAGAAUUAAAUUAAAAUUUUAUUUGUUUUUCAUAAUUAAUUUGAGAAGUAUUGGCGGUAUUAUGGAUAAAUUCUGAGGAACUUGUUUAUUUAAAUUGAUAUUACACGUUAAAUUUUAUCUGUAAUUUUUUUUAUAUAUUGCUGUUUAAUUUAUUAUUUAUUAUAUUAAAAUAAAUUGAAGAAACAUUAUAGUGUAAAUAUAUCAAGUCAAAAUGUAGAUUUUUACAGGGUUAAAUGAGUUACAUUUAUAUUGAAAUAUGAUACUGUAAAGUAAAUUGAAAUAUUUAUGAGUUGAAUGUUGGAUUAGGGUGUAAAAAUAAAUUAAUAAGUUUUUUUGAUAAAUUAUUCCGGUAUGU